rnacentral:lncRNA from 1 species
UUUAAUGUAUUAAGUGUGACUUAAUCAUGAGAACACAUUAAACAUAAGGACACUAUUCUUAAAAUAUCCGUAGUCGAGCUUUAGUGUGAAGUGAGAUAACAUUAAAGCAUUAAGACUAUUAUGUUUGUAGACUGAUGAUCAUAUCUCAUGGAUCAUGGAUAAAGAGUUAUCAAGUCUUAAACAUAGGUAUGAAUAUUAGGAGUAAUAUUUAUACCAGAUUGACCCGCUAUGAGAAUACUAUAUAGAAAGUUAUGCAAAGUGUCAUAAGUUAUUCUCAUG